AGUGGCGGACGGGUGAGUAACGCGUGGGUAACCUCGCCUCACACAGGGGAGUAACAGUUGGAAACGACCGCUAAUACCGCAUAAGCCAACAGGGGCGCAUGCUCUGGUUGGAAAAGAUUUAUCGGUGUGAGAUGGACCCGCGUCUGAUUAGCCAGUUGGCAGGGUAACGGCCUACCAAAGCGACGAUCAGUAGCCGGCCUGAGAGGGUGAACGGCCACAUUGGGACUGGGACACGGCCCAAACUCCUACGGAAGGCAGCAG
rnacentral:rRNA from 1 species